rfam:Sclerotinia borealis F-4128 unplaced genomic scaffold scaffold00008, whole genome shotgun sequence.
GGCGCCGUGACGGAGUGGUUAACGUGAUUGACUAGAAAUCAAUUCCUUUCGGGGGCGCAUGUUCGAAUCAUGCCGGCGUCG